rnacentral:rRNA from 1 species
UACGUAGGGGUCGAGCGUUGUCCGGAAUUACUGGGCGUAAAGCGUGCGCAGGCGGUUCGUUGUGUCGGUGGUGAAAGCCCCGGGCUUAACCUGGGAAUGGCCAUGGAAACUGGCGAACUGGAGUGUGGCAGAGGGGGGUGGAAUUCCGCGUGUAGCAGUGAAAUGCGUAGAGAUGCGGAGGAACACCGAUGGCGAAGGCAGCCCCCUGGGCUAGCACUGACGCUCAGGCACGAAAGCGUGGGGAGCAAACAGG